rnacentral:rRNA from 1 species
GCACUACGGUGCUGAAGCAACAAAUGCCCUGCUUCCAGGAAAAGCCUCUAAGCAUCAGGUAACAUCAAAUCGUACCCCAAACCGACACAGGUGGUCAGGUAGAGAAUACCAAGGCGCUUGAGAGAACUCGGGUGAAGGAACUAGGCAAAAUGGUGCCGUAACUUCGGGAGAAGGCACGCUGAUAUGUAGGUGAAGCGACUUGCUCGUGGAGCUGAAAUCAGUCGAAGAUACCAGCUGGCUGCAACUGUUUAUUAAAAACACAGCACUGUGCAAACACGAAAGUGGACGUAUACGGUGUGACGCCUGCCCGGUGCCGGAAGGUUAAUUGAUGGGGUCAGCGCAAGCGAAGCUCUUGAUCGAAGCCCCGGUAAACGGCGGCCGUAACUAUAACGGUCCUAAGGUAGCGAAAUUCCUUGUCGGGUAAGUUCCGACCUGCACGAAUGGCGUAAUGAUGGCCAGGCUGUCUCCACCCGAGACUCAGUGAAAUUGAACUCGCUGUGAAGAUGCAGUGUACCCGCGGCAAGACGGAAAGACCCCGUGAACCUUUACUAUAGCUUGACACUGAACAUUGAGCCUUGAUGUGUAGGAUAGGUGGGAGGCUUUGAAGUGUGGACGCCAGUCUGCAUGGAGCCGACCUUGAAAUACCACCCUUUAAUGUUUGAUGUUCUAACGUUGACCCGUAAUCCGGGUUGCGGACAGUGUCUGGUGGGUAGUUUGACUGGGGCGGUCUCCUCCUAAAGAGUAACGGAGGAGCACGAAGGUUGGCUAAUCCUGGUCGGACAUCAGGAGGUUAGUGCAAUGGCAUAAGCCAGCUUGACUGCGAGCGUGACGGCGCGAGCAGGUGCGAAAGCAGGUCAUAGUGAUCCGGUGGUUCUGAAUGGAAGGGCCAUCGCUCAACGGAUAAAAGGUACUCCGGGGAUAACAGGCUGAUACCGCCCAAGAGUUCAUAUCGACGGCGGUGUUUGGCACCUCGAUGUCGGCUCAUCACAUCCUGGGGCUGAAGUAGGUCCCAAGGGUAUGGCUGUUCGCCAUUUAAAGUGGUACGCGAGCUGGGUUUAGAACGUCGUGAGACAGUUCGGUCCCUAUCUGCCGUGGGCGCUGGAGAACUGAGGGGGGCUGCUCCUAGUACGAGAGGACCGGAGUGGACGCAUCACUGGUGUUCGGGUUGUCAUGCCAAUGGCACUGCCCGGUAGCUAAAUGCGGAAGAGAUAAGUGCUGAAAGCAUCUAAGCACGAAACUUGCCCCGAGAUGAGUUCUCCCUGACUCCUUGAGAGUCCUGAAGGAACGUUGAAGACGACGACGUUGAUAGGCCGGGUGUGUAAGCGCAGCGAUGCGUUGAGCUAACCGGUACUAAUGAACCGUGAGG